rnacentral:rRNA from 1 species
GACGAACGCUGGCGGCUUGCCUAAUACAUGCAAGUCGAACGAAAGGACCAGCAUUUUCCUGUGCUGAUCUUGUCGGCGGAUGGGGAAGGAGUGAGUGGCAAACCUAUCUAUAAGCCUGGGCUAACUUCGGGAAAUGGGAGACAAUACCGAAUAAUAUUUUGAACCGCAUGGUUCAACAGUGGAAGACGGACUUGCUGUCAGUUAUAGAUGGUUCCGCGCUGGCUUAGCUAGUUGGUAAGGUAGCGGCUUACCAAGGCCACGAUGGCUAGCCGCCGUCAGAGGGUGAUCGGGCACACUGGAACUGAGACACGGUCCAGACUCAGACGGGAGGCAGCAGUAGGGGUGCUUCCGCAAGGGGCGUAAGCCGGAGGGAGCAACGGCGCGGGAGUGAGGAAGAUCUUCGGAUUGUAGAACUCUGUUAUUAGGGAAGAACAUAUGGGUAAGUGGUUGUGCGGAUCUUGACGGUACUUAAAGAGAAAGCCCCGGCUAACUACGUG